UAAUACGUAGGUGGCAAGCGUUGUCCGGAUUUAUUGGGUUUAAAGGGUGCGUAGGCGGCCCUGUAAGUCAGUGCUGAAAUAUCCCGGCUCAACCGGGAGGGUGGCAUUGAUACUGCAGGGCUUGAGUGGAGUCGAAGUGGGCGGAAUUGACGGUGUAGCGGUGAAAUGCUUAGAUAUCGUCAAGAACACCGAUAGUGAAGACAGCUCACUAGGCUUCAACUGACGCUGAGGCACGAAAGUGUGGGGAUCAAACAGGAUUAGAUACCCUGGUAGUCCACACUGUAAACGUUGAUGACUCGCUGUUGGCGAUAUACAGUCAGCGGCUAAGCGCAAGCGAUAAGUCAUCCACCUGGGGAGUACGCCGGCAACGGUG
rnacentral:rRNA from 1 species